GCCGGGCAUGGUGGCUCAUGCCUGUAAUCCCAGCACUUUGGGAGGCCGAGGCGGGUGGAUCACCUGAGGUUGGGAGUUCAAGACCAGCCUGACCAACAUGGAGAAACCCCGUCUCUA
ensembl:misc_RNA Metazoa_SRP Metazoan signal recognition particle RNA